GUCCCACAUAGAGAUUUCUCAGGAGACAGAUGAGGUGAUCAGGCACUCCCAUUUCUUUAAGAACUUGCCAUAGUUUGCUGUGGUUGACACAGUCAAAGGCUUUUGCAUAGUCAAUGAAGCAGAAGUAGAUGUUUUUCUGGAACUCUCUAGCUUUCUCCAUAAUCCAGCGCAUGUUUGCAAUUUGGUCUCUGGUUCCUCUGCCC